GAGUGGCUCUAUAUUUCUGAUUGGCCUUCUUGUGACUCCUGGUGGAAACUUAAAGUUGGAAACAUCUGUUGUAUAUGCCAUAGAACGUUUCUGGUUUCUGCUGAUGAACCUAAGGUUUAGGUAAAUAUCCUGAAAUUAUUUUCACCUGGAAAACGACUUUAAAGUUAACAUAACUUUUCCAUAAUAUUGAUUUCUCAGAGGUGUCUCUGUUUCUCAAUAACAGCAUUAAAAACACUUGUAGAAUUUGUAACUUGUGUAUAAAAGUUUGAUAAUGUUUCUUCUGGAUAAAUAUUAGGAGUAGCCAAUACUGAUUUGGUUUUCUGUUGAA